UUAAUUACAGCCUGGCAGGGGAGAUAUAUGAUCAGGAGGGUGGUUUUUCCUCUGAGUGAGGCUUAUCCCGUACACACAGCUGUGGUGACCCCUGGGAUUUCCCCAAAUGUGGGAAACCGGAUAGCAUAAUUUGUGGUAAUAUGGGAAAUGAAACAUU
ensembl:snRNA U1 U1 spliceosomal RNA